rnacentral:rRNA from 1 species
CUACGUAGGGGGCGAGCGUUGUCCGGAAUGAUUGGGCGUAAAGGGCGCGUAGGCGGCCCGGUAAGUCUGGAGUGAAAGUCCUGUUUUUAAGAUGGGAAUUGCUUUGGAUACUGUCGGGCUUGAGUGCAGGAGAGGUAAGUGGAAUUCCCAGUGUAGCGGUGAAAUGCGUAGAGAUUGGGAGGAACACCAGUGGCGAAGGCGACUUACUGGACUGUAACUGACGCUGAGGCGCGAAAGUGUGGGGAGCAAACAGGAUUAGAUGCCCUGGUAGUCCACACUGUAAACGAUGAAUGCUAGGUGUAGGGGGUAUCGACCCCUUCUGUGCCGCAGUCAACACAAUAAGCAUUCCGCCUGGGGAGUACGGCCGCAAGGUUGAAACUCAAAGGAAUUGACGGGG